GAGAGGUUAGUGACUAGCUAAGUGAACAUUAAAGGACGGACAAAUACAAACAUAAAUAUGGGGCUUUAAAGAGGAAAGAGAGGGUGGAGAAAUUAGUCGUGACACAAAAACUACGCUCAUUUUCAAAACUGAAGCUUAUAAAGAAAUUAUUUGCCGAGCAUUAUGUCGCAGAACAGACGAUCAAGGACAUCGUGGAUGAAUUUGAGUGAGGACACGUUCGAGCUGCAUGCGGUGCAGUUGGAGCUGGAGGCCGUGGAACGACAGAUCCGGACCCUUCUGGAGAAACAGGCCGAGCUACGGGAGCGGCGAACAGCGCUGGAAACAUCCCGUGCUGACGCUCACCAAUCCUCGGUAAGUUUGCAGUGCGAUAUUAACAUUCCUGCUUCCUCUACGCCGUGUACUUCUCUGCACAGGGCCCGAGAACCCAGAACGCGUUCAUCCCAGCCCUCGUUCACUCCGGCGCUGUCACACCAGGGACCUUGGGUUCUUCAGCAACGGAAGGGCGCGAGCCAGGCCUCGGACCAGGACCUCUCCCCCUCCGCCGCCCCCGGUCUUCGAGGUCUCGACGAGGAACCGCUUCUCCCCUCUUCGCGAGGCAGAACGAGACGCCGUGGUCAUCGGAGACUCCAUCGUCCGUCACGUCCACGCUACCACAACCAAAGGUAAGGUGCACAGUCACUGUUUUCCUGGUGCUCGUGUCCUCGAUGUCUCUGCGCAGGUUCCCGCGAUCCUGAAUGGCGCUGAGAGCAUCGGAGCUGUUGUUCUGCACGUGGGGGUGAACGACACCAGGCUGCGGCAGACGGAGGUGCUGAAGCAGGACUUCAGGAGCCUGAUCGAGACGGUACGAGCCACAUCGCCCGCGACGAGGAUCAUCGUGUCCGGACCGCUUCCGACGUACCGACGUGGACAUGAAAGGUUCAGUAGAUUAUUUGCUUUAAAUGAAUGGUUAAUGUCUUGGUGUACUGAACAGAAGCUGCUCUUUAUAAAUAAUUGGAAUCUUUUCUGGGAGCGACCUAGGCUCUUCCGUGCUGAUGGCCUGCACCCCAGCAAAAUCGGAGCUGAUCUUCUGUCGGAGAACAUCUCCAAGACGCUUCGCACCGUAUGACUAAGAGUACAUCAGUUUCAGUUUGGAUCCAGCCUCUUAAGAAGACCUCAGAUGACUAAAACUUUGGAAGAGACGGCGCCAACUCCUGCGAUGACUUCAGAAGAUGCAACAUCUGGAUCAACACGCACAUUCACAUUCUAUAAAUCCUAAUUAUUGUUAAUAUGUAAUUCAUUUUUCCAGGAGCUCUUUGCUUCUACCUCCAAUUAAAUUGCUAACAGUGAUUGUAUGUUAAUCGCCUAAAUUAUUACAUUAUUAGCUAACUGCAGUCUCCAAAUUGUAAUGUUGAUAUGCUUUCUCUGUAAAGCUGCUUUGAAACGAUAUGUAUCGUGAAAAGCGCUAUACAAAUAAAUGUGAAUUGAAUUGAAUUAAACGUUGGUGGACAGCCAUUUUUAGGUCUCUCCAGAGAUGCUCAAUUGGGUUUAAGUCAGGGCUCUGGCUGGGCCAUUCAAGAACAGUCACGGAGUUGUUGUGAAGCCACUCCUUCGUUAUUUUAGCUGUGUGCUUAGGGUCAUUGUCUUGUUGGAAGGUAAACCUUCGGCCCAGUCUGAGGUCCUGAGCACUCUGGAGAAGGUUUUCGUCCAGGAUAUCAUCC